AUAUACAGCAAGAAACGCCAGCCUGUAACAAUGUUGUUGAAAACAGGCUUGAACAAUGUUUUGCUGCCAACGUUGUUCACACUUGUCAACAAUAUUGAACAAUAUUGUUGAGCCCGAAUCGGGUGUAACAAUAUUGUUCAAUAUUGUUGACAACUGUGAACAAUGUGGGCAGCAAAACGUUGUUCAAGCCUGUUUUUAACAACAUGGCGUUUUUUGCUG